rnacentral:rRNA from 1 species
GACGAACGCUGGCGGCGUGCCUAAUACAUGCAAGUCGAACGAACUCUGGUAUUGAUUGGUGCUUGCAUCAUGAUUUACAUUUGAGUGAGUGGCGAACUGGUGAGUAACACGUGGGAAACCUGCCCAGAAGCGGGGGAUAACACCUGGAAACAGAUGCUAAUACCGCAUAACAACUUGGACCGCAUGGUCCGAGUUUGAAAGAUGGCUUCGGCUAUCACUUUUGGAUGGUCCCGCGGCGUAUUAGCUAGAUGGUGAGGUAACGGCUCACCAUGGCAAUGAUACGUAGCCGACCUGAGAGGGUAAUCGGCCACAUUGGGACUGAGGCACGGCCCAAACUCCUACGGGAGGCAGCAGUAGGGAAUCUUCCACAAUGGACGAAAGUCUGAUGGAGCAACGCCGCGUGGGUGAAGAAGGGUUUCGGCUCGUAAAACUCUGUUGUUAAAGAAGAACAUAUCUGAGAGUAACUGUUCAGGUAUUGACGGUAUUUAACCAGAAAGCCACGGCUAACUACGUGCCAGCAGCCGCGGUAAUACGUAGGUGGCAAGCGUUGUCCGGAUUUAUUGGGCGUAAAGCGAGCGCAGGCGGUUUUUUAAGUCUGAUGUGAAAGCCUUCGGCUCAACCGAAGAAGUGCAUCGGAAACUGGGGAACUUGAGUGCAGAAGAGGACAGUGGAACUCCAUGUGUAGCGGUGAAAUGCGUAGAUAUAUGGAAGAACACCAGUGGCGAAGGCGGCUGUCUGGUCUGUAACUGACGCUGAGGCUCGAAAGUAUGGGUAGCAAACAGGAUUAGAUACCCUGGUAGUCCAUACCGUAAACGAUGAAUGCUAAGUGUUGGAGGGUUUCCGCCCUUCAGUGCUGCAGCUAACGCAUUAAGCAUUCCGCCUGGGGAGUACGGCCGCAAGGCUGAAACUCAAAGGAAUUGACGGGGGCCCGCACAAGCGGUGGAGCAUGUGGUUUAAUUCGAAGCUACGCGAAGAACCUUACCAGGUCUUGACAUACUAUGCAAAUCUAAGAGAUUAGACGUUCCCUUCGGGGACAUGGAUACAGGUGGUGCAUGGUUGUCGUCAGCUCGUGUCGUGAGAUGUUGGGUUAAGUCCCGCAACGAGCGCAACCCUUAUUAUCAGUUGCCAGCAUUAAGUUGGGCACUCUGGUGAGACUGCCGGUGACAAACCGGAGGAAGGUGGGGAUGACGUCAAAUCAUCAUGCCCCUUAUGACCUGGGCUACACACGUGCUACAAUGGAUGGUACAACGAGUUGCGAACUCGCGAGAGUAAGCUAAUCUCUUAAAGCCAUUCUCAGUUCGGAUUGUAGGCUGCAACUCGCCUACAUGAAGUCGGAAUCGCUAGUAAUCGCGGAUCAGCAUGCCGCGGUGAAUACGUUCCCGGGCCUUGUACACACCGCCCGUCACACCAUGAGAGUUUGUAACACCCAAAGUCGGUGGGGUAACCUUUUAGGAACCAGCCGCCUAAGGUGGGACAGAUGAUUAGGGUG